AAGGAUAUAGCUAUACCUAAGUAACAGAUUCUUACUCUGUAGAAGAGCACAGCUCUAUCCUUA
rnacentral:tRNA from 1 species